rnacentral:rRNA from 1 species
UAACGCAGCUAACGCGUGAAGUAGACCGCCUGGGGAGUACGGUCGCAAGAUUAAAACUCAAAGGAAUUGACGGGGACCCGCACAAGCGGUGGAUGAUGUGGAUUAAUUCGAUGCAACGCGAAAAACCUUACCUACCCUUGACAUGGAUGGAAUCCCGAAGAGAUUUGGGAGUGCUCGAAAGAGAACCAUCACACAGGUGCUGCAUGGCUGUCGUCAGCUCGUGUCGUGAGAUGUUGGGUUAAGUCCCGCAACGAGCGCAACCCUUGUCAUUAGUUGCUACGAAAGGGCACUCUAAUGAGACUGCCGGUGACAAACCGGAGGAAGGUGGGGAUGACGUCAAGUCCUCAUGGCCCUUAUGGGUAGGGCUUCACACGUCAUACAAUGGUACAUACAGAGGGCCGCCAACCCGCGAGGGGGAGCUAAUCCCAGAAAGUGUAUCGUAGUCCGGAUUGGAGUCUGCAACUCGACUCCAUGAAGUUGGAAUCGCUAGUAAUCGCGGA